AACGAACGCUGGCGGCAGGCUUAACACAUGCAAGUCGAACGCAUCCUUCGGGGUGAGUGGCAGACGGGUGAGUAACGCGUGGGAACGUGCCCUUCAGUUCGGGAUGACCCAGGGAAACUUGGGCUAAUACCGGAUACGUGCGAGAGCAGAAAGAUUUAUCGCUGAAGGAUCGGCCCGCGUCUGAUUAGCUAGUUGGUGGGGUAAUGGCCCACCAAGGCGACGAUCAGUAGCUGGUCUGAGAGGAUGAUCAGCCACAUUGGGACUGAGACACGGCCCAAACUCCUACGGGAGGCAGCAGUGGGGAAUAUUGGACAAUGGGCGCAAGCCUGAUCCAGCCAUGCCGCGUGAGUGAUGAAGGCCUUAGGGUUGUAAAGCUCUUUCGUCCGGGACGAUAAUGACGGUACCGGAAGAAAAAGCCCCGGCUAACUUCGUGCCAGCCGCCGCGGUAA
rnacentral:rRNA from 1 species